ensembl:lncRNA
GGUUAUGUGUGUGCCCGUGUGUGUUUUUGGCUGUCAGCAUGUGAGAGGGCCUGAGUACAUCAGGGCAUGUAUCCAUCUGUGCGUGCGCGUGUGUGUGAACACGUGUGCGUCAUUGCAUUAGAAGUCCGUGAGUGUUUUCUGUGUGUUUGUGUUGCUCUUGAGCACAGUCAUCCCGCAGAGGUGACUGUGAAACGAUGGGAACAGGCAUAACCGAUGGAGGAAGAGGGGUUAACGGGCAGGCAGCAGGAUAUCCCAUCACAUUCGGAGUGUUGCUGCUGCGCCCACUUCCCUUAACUCUUCCCAGCAGCUGGAUCCAGGAAGAGGUCAAGAGGGGUCAGGCAAGCUCCUCCCUCUGUCAUUAUCCUUCCAUCACCUGCCGUCCUCUCUGUGCUGACAACAAAACUUUCUCUUCUGUCUCUUUUCUCCUGACGUAUGCUUCUGGUCUUUAUGGCCCUCACCCUCUUAUUCUCUCUGUGUGACACUGCCUUUAUGAUUUUCGCAUCAUUUCUCCCCUCCAUCUGGUCUCCAGUUUUCCCCUUUCCUAGCCUUUUAUUUGUGUCUUUUUCCUCUUUUGAUAGCCCGGCAUCACCCUUAAUUUCCUGAUGUCAUUUUCUCUUGUGGAUACGGAGAAUUUAUGGGGUCCCUCUUGCUGUGAGAUUUUUUUUGUUUUUUUUUUUAUAUUCUUGCAGUUUAUCUCUAGAUCGUGACUGAGAUACUAUACACCCAGUACUGCUUUCACAGACAGACUGGAAAUUGAACAAAAUUCUUUCAGAGGAGAAUCUCUAGUGAGGAAGAGAGGCGAGGACUAAGUGUGUGCUGAGAGCCUAACACAGCCAAAUGUGUGUCAAAAAUCAAGCUGAAAUCUGGGGCAAGUGGUAAUGCAAUAUAGAUGUUAUGUCAUCAUAAAUAUUUGAAGAUACACAACAAUGUACUGUAAUAGAAUAAUGUAUGGGCAUCGACUGGAAUGAGCAACAGAGGUGAUAAUUUGACGUCUUUAUAUUCUCU